GAUGAAGAACGCAGCGAAAUGCGAUAAGUAGUGUGAAUUGCAGAAUUCAGUGAAUCAUCGAAUCUUUGAAUGCACAUUGCGCCCUUUGGUAUUCCAAAGGGUAUGCCUGUUCGAGCGUCAUUUGUACCCUCAAGCUUUGCUUGGUGUUGGGCGUCUUGUCUCUAGCUUUGCUGGAGACUCGCCUUAAAGUAAUUGGCAGCCGGCCUACUGGUUUCGGAGCGCAGCACAAGUCGCACUCUCUAUCAGCAAAGGUCUAGCAUCCAUUAAGCCUUUUUUUCAACUUUUGACCUCGGAUCAGGUAGGGAUACCCGCUGAACUUAAGCAUAUCAAUAAGCGGAGGA
rnacentral:misc_RNA from 1 species